UACAGAGGGGGCUAGCGUUGUUCGGAAUUACUGGGCGUAAAGGGCGCGUAGGUGGCCUGUUAAGUCGAACGUGAAAUCCCCGGGCUCAACCCGGGAACUGCGUCCGAGACUGGCAGGCUCGAAUCCGGGAGAGGGAUGUGGAAUUCCAGGUGUAGCGGUGAAAUGCGUAGAUAUCGUAAGGAAGACCAGUGGCGAAGGCGGGUCUCUGGACAGUUCCUGACGCUGAGGCAC
rnacentral:rRNA from 1 species